UGAGUAACGCGUAGGUAACCUGCCUACUAGCCGGGGGAUAACUAUUGGAAACGAUAGCUAAUACCGCGAUAACAGCAUUUAACACAUGUUAGAUGCUUGAAAGGAGCAAUUGCUUCACUAGUAGAUGGACCUGCGUUGUAUUAGCUAGUUGGUGAGGUAACGGCUCACCAAGGCGACGAUACAUAGCCGACCUGAGAGGGUGAUCGGCCACACUGGGACUGAGACACGGCCCAGACUCCUACGGGAGGCAGCAGUAGGGAAUCUUCGGCAAUGGGGGCGAACCCUGACCGAGCAACGCCGCGUGAAGUGAAGAAGGUUUUCGGAUCGUAAAGCUCUGUUGUAAGAGAAGAACGUGUGUGAGAGUGGAAAGUUCACACAGUGUACGGUAACUUACCAGAAAGGGACGGCUAACUACGUGCCAGCAGCCGC
rnacentral:rRNA from 1 species